rnacentral:misc_RNA from 1 species
UUUUUUUUUUUUUUUUUUUUUUUUGUUCUUUUCCUUUUCAUACAUUUCCCAAUUCUCUACAUGCAGCUUUCAUCUUUGAAAGCCUCUCAUCCAAAUUUCUUAAAUAGCAUUUGGGAUGAGAACCACCUACAUCUAGGACACUUGCACUACAUGCCACCUCUUCCUACAAUGGUGCCCUUGUAAAAUUACAAGCCAAAAUUAAAGAAAAAAAAAAUAAUAACAUGGGAAAAAGAAAAAAAGAAAACUACAGCUGCCUACACUUUACAGAAGCCCCUUUGAAUGAAGUAUUACUUGAAAAGAACCUAAUCCCCAUUCGAUUCAACCAUGAUGCUUUCAUCUCUCCAGAGCCCGUGCACUGACCCUCGCCUUCCUCUUCACUGCUAAAGAGGGUUUGGUCCGAGCAGUCGAGUGAUGCUCCACACGCUAAAUUAUACGACUGACAUGCUGAAUGGCAUACCCGAAGCCUGUCAUAGCCAUCCUUGUCACACUUUUGGAUGGAGAUCCAGCAGGCUAGUCGCUUAGCAACUGUAUCACAGUAGCUGCUGCCGAAGACAUUAAAUAACUUCCGGGCACCACCAGGGAACAACCGAUGGUAGUUAGGCAUGACAACUACUUCUUCUAGCUGCUGGAGUAUACUUGGUUCACUGGGUGCACAAUGUUGACUGAACAUAUCGCUCUCCAGCACAUUUCUGCAAACUGAAAGGCUAGAGAGAAGUGUUGAGCUAUUCUGACAAGUAUAUCCCGCAUAAUCUGAGCAUCGGAAUUCGCAAACUCCAUUAUCACAGACCCCACCAUGAAGACUGCACUGUUCAUCACAAGCAGCAGUAGAACAGUCAAUGCCAGUGUAACCUUUUUUGCAUUUACAGACCCCAUUUGAAAGGCAGAUGCCACGCCCAUUGCAAUUAUUAGGGCAGGACCGUCUGCUACAAUCAUGACCAUGAAAUCCCAGGAAACAGUGACACUUUCCAUCAAUACAGUCUCCAUUAAAAUUACAUGAACUGGGGCAUUGCCCAUGUACAGGAACUGAACUCAUAAUACAGAGUUCAUGGUAAGCAGGGCAAAUAAGCUCACCAUUGAANNNNNNNNNNGGAACUGAACUGGUCCGCCAGCUUCAGGACACACUUUCCACAUACCAUCCACAGCAACCUCAAGAGAGUUGUUUACACAUCUGUGCUGAUAACAACCAUUUCCUUGGGUUACAGAAC